AUAAGAGACGGAAAGUUCAUUAUUCUGUACGGAGGGGAGGACAUUGAAUGGAUCAGAAGAUUCACAAACACAGCGCGGGCUGUGGCACAAGCUGCUGGAGUUCAGCUAGAGAUGGCCUACGUGGGAAAGAGCACAAAGAGGGAAAUGGUCAGGAGGGCAAUGUCAACAAUCACAGUGGAGAAGCUUAGCUACUGCUGGCAAGACCCCACAAUGAUUUGGUUCUUCUGGGCAAGAAUGGAGAGCAUGUUGUUUUCAAAGAUCCAAGUGAAGAAAACAGAUGACCAUCUUGAUCCAUUAAUGCAAGAAAUCAAGAAACUGCUGAGUUACGACAAGAGUGGAAGUUGGGCUAUGUUAUGCAAAGGCUCAUAUAUUGUGACUAGUGGGCAUGCUCAAACUGUCUUGAGCGCAUUCCUAGAAUUUGAUUCAUGGAAAGAAAAUGUUCCACUUAGAGGCUUUGAUGUGUCAUUCAAAGAAUAUCAUGACAAGCUUCAUGUUGCAAACCCGCCAUGUUGCAGAUUCGAGUUCUUGACCACUGCUGGAAGAAUCCCAGAUGGCAUGACAUGCCCUGAGUGCCUCCAACAUAUGGAGAAGUAUAGCACUUUCCUCUGUUGCCAUGAUGAGAAUUCCAUUUUCCUACCCCACUAGAAGCAACAGGGUCUCCUACAACAAAUAUCUAUACUACUUUCUACACAGAGUGCCUUGGCAAGUAAAAUAAAAGAGAACCUACCAUAUGCUACCUCAGUUCUCUCUCUCUCUCUCUCUUUGUUUUUUUUUUUGUUGUGUGAAGUUUUCGGCAGUACCAGUCUGUCCUACAAUGUUUAAAGUGUGAGAUUAUUGUUCGAGUGUGUCAGUGUUGCUUUUGGUAAACUGAGAAUAUGUCCACCCAUUAUUAUUAGCCUAAAUAAAUAAGCAAAGAUUCUACUUUGAUAUAAUAUUCUGAUCCAGUAUGAUUUGCUUAAUAUAUAGUAGCAAUACACAAUCUGCAUUUCUUACAUUUAGCUCCUACUAAAGUUUUCAUAGCUCUUUAGUUAUCAAUAACCAAAUAUUCAAUCUUUAUCCUAGUUAAGUAUCCAAUGUCUUGUUUGAGCUUUCCAUACUGUUUAACUAAUAAUUCAGUUUUAAAUUUUCUUAAUUCUGAAAUUAAGAACAUAACAUUCUGGAGUCAGGGUGUCCAAGAAAACUGUUGUAGAAAGAGCUGAUGGUAAAACCAUUGAAGAUUGCGUAUUGAAGUGGCAGAAAGAGGUUGAAGAAAUCUAGGAGAGUGAUGAAGAAUCUGGGAAAAACAUUUUAACCAAAAUAGAGCAUAAGCAUCUUAACCAAACUCGGAACCAGCACCAGCACGACUGUGUUCAGUAAAUUUAACUACUAAAAGGAAAAACAUCUUAACCAAAUACAGGUCAGUUCAUUUUUAUUUUAUUUUUUGACAAGUUCAGUUCAUAUUUAGAAUACAGAAACCUGCACCAUCUCACAUAUACUAGAGAUUAUCAUAAAAAAAGCACAGAUAGAACAGAAGUUGAAAACAGAAUAGAUAAAUUAAAAGUCUUCAGGUUAAAAGAUGGCACAGAUUAACAGAGUUAAAAUCUUGGAAUUUAUGUGACUACUGUAACAAAGUGAAAAGGGUUCAGCUGCAAAGUUAGAUCAUUCAAUACAUUAGAAACUUUUGGACAUUCCAUUGGGUGAUGGUAAAAAAGAGAUGAAGCAUUUAGCUAAAAAAAAAACAAGAAGGAAAAAAGUAUGAAGCAUGGGAUUUGUUCAGGAGUACUGUUGGUGCUUGUCAAAAUUGCUAAAUAUCUUGCUAAAAAAGUGUGUGAGGUUGGUUAAGCAUUGCCAGUUACAUCUCAUGAUAAAUCAUGGAUGCAUUUGAACAAUUUGAGAAGGGCAAAGUUGAAUUUUAUGUCAUUUACAUGUGGAGAAAAAUGAAUUUUGAUUUGAUCAACUCGGAAAUUAUUUAAAUUACAUGUAAAGAAAAAUGAGUUGUCAACUGGUUUGUCAGAUUUGAACAACUUUUGGUGCUGCCAGAGUGCGGAAGCAUAGGCUUAUGCAGGGCUGUAAUGAAGCCGAGUUCGAGUUUGAUUCGAGUUUUUUCUUACCAUUUGAGCAAAACUUGAUUAACUUAUUUAUCAUUUUUUCCGGUUCAUUAAUGUCCGAGUCGAGUUAUUAGUUAUUACCGAGUCAAGUUGAUAUCAAAUUUGGGCUGAUCGAAAUCUUUUUGUCGAGUGAUUAGGCCCAAAUCAAAAGUUCAAAAUCAGUGUUUAGAAGUCCAUAAAAACUCCAAGAAUUAGAAUAUCAAGCUCUGGUUUAAUGGAAGAAAGUGCGGAGGAUGUAAGCAGCCAUGAACUUACUGGCAUGCAUAAGAAGGCAAGGAAUUGCAAAUUGUUGGAAGGCGUUGAGGAUGUAACAUAUGAUGAAACUCAAGAUUAUUACAGUCUUUCAACAUUCAUAUCUUGCUCUUAGACAUUUGCCAAACCUCAAAUUGAAGUUGCACUUUAAGCUAAGCUUUCGAUAUGCCCAAAUUAAAUUAUUUCCAUCAGCUUAGGAUAGAAUAUCACUCCAAUAAAAACUUUCACACUGCUGGUAUUUGCUUAUACUGAAGAGGAGGAUCUGAUCCACUGUAACAGAUACAGACUAAAGACUCAACUUGUCCAUUCCCCUCGCAGCAACAACCACAUUUGCCAAAACGUGAAAAGCAUAGGUAUUUAAUCACAUUCAUUGAAUGAGACUGUGUAAAUAUGUUUUAAUUACAAUAAAAUAAUUCAUCAUAACAUGUUAUAAAUUAACAAGGCCAGUAGGCGUAAAUACUUGGUUUUAAUAGAUAAUAAAAAGAUCAGCCAGAACAUGUUAUAUAAACUAAGGAGGCUUCACAAAUACUACCAAAGUUUUAAUGUUUCGGAGUUAAUAGUAUAAUAUAGAUUUAAGCAUUCAAACGCUUGUAAUGUCGAAGUAAUGAGGUUGGCUCCCCUAUUUUGAAAUCUGCAGGCAGUAGGGCGUUGAUGUUAAAAAUAUGAAAUCUGCCCAACUACAGCUAGAAGAUUCAACAGUAGUAGAGGUGUCUGUCACACCAAUGAUCUCUUGGUCUAACGCUCCUUGCUCGUCUUGCAUGAGGUCGAGGCUUUGAAAAGCGUAAGAUAGGUGUCUCAGUGUAUUUAGUUAUAAAGAAAACGCAUGAUCUGCCAGACGACUGCAGAAAUUCUUUUGUUAAUCAUGUUAGUCACGUACUACCCAUAUUGUUUGUUCAAAAUGUUAACAUCAAGAAAUCUUAUACUAACAAAUGUUUGAGUUUUAGUAUCUUGAGCCUCGACCUCCUGUUCAAUCUACAAAUUAUGCUGUUAGGAAUGAUGAGCAGGAUGAAAAGUUUGAACAUGUAGCCAUGAAUAAUUCAAAUUGCAAUGGAUGAUGGAUUGUUUCUUUUAUAUAAUUUAAAAAGUUAUCAACUUAAAUAUAGAUAUGAACAUCAAAAUGUUUAUCUACAAAUAAUACAAGUAGUUCUUCUCCACAUCUCAUGAAAAGGAAAUGGUCCUAAGGACUGAAACACGACAGAAAAAGUGAAAUGAAGUGUGAGAUUCAAGGAGAUAUGCAAGUACUUGAAUUGAUUUGUAUAUCCAUGUUACUGAGCUUCAGUAAAGAAGAAAAAAGAACUGAGAAGAAUCCAAAUAUAGAAAAGAAGAAGAAAAGAAUGAGUAACAAACAUUAAUAUCUUCCUUUAUUGGUAUUGUUUUGUUGCUUUCUUCUUCACUUUGAAAGAAUCAGAACAAUCCCAGACAAUGUCAUGCACGCAAAUAAUAUAAAUUACUUAAAGCAAAAUGAUUAAUUUGAUUAGUGCUUACACUUGAAACACAUUGGAGGAUGCAGUGUUGAAAUUUUAGAAAGGUACUCAGGUUCAGAUAAUUAGACAAUAAUAACCCAAGAUAAUAAAGUACAUUUCUUAAUUAUUAAACUAAGAGGUUGCUAAUCUUUCCGAGAGUUUAUUUAAAGGAAGGUAUAUGUGGGGUAUGUAGUGUCCCUAAAACUGAAAAUAAGCUUCAGAUUAACGAUGGAAAUUAUUCAUUUUUCAUGACAAGGAAGGUAUAGUCACCUUUAUUCUACCUUGGAGCAUUGUAUUGUUAUGUAGUGUAUAUAAAGAGCAUACUCAGACUCCUUGAAGGAUAUAGAACUAGCAAUUGAUCAUCUAUAUGCUAGCUUAACUGAAAAUUUUAAAACAAUGAGCAACAUCAAACAGUUAGUACCACCUCCUGCAGCGACAAAUGCAUCUACUUUGCAGCAACUGAGUAAUGCAAUGUCUUCUGCGCAGCAGCCAAGCAACACGAUGCAGCCCUCCAGUUCUGUGGGCAAUAUGCAGGGCAGCGCGAAUGCUCUCAACAAAAUGCAGCAGGGGAAUACAAUGGCCAAUUUGCAGGCCAGCGCGAAUGCUCUUAACAAAAUGCAGCAGGGGAAUACUAUGGCCAAUUUGCAAGCAGCCGCCAAUGCUAUGGCCAACAUGCAGCAGCAACAGCAGCAGCAGCAGCAGCAACAACAACAACUUCAGCAGACUGGCAAUCCAAUGUCCGGUAUGCAGACUGGAAAUGCAAUGACUGCUAUGCAGCCAUCUGGGAGUUCAAUGGCCACUAUGUAUCCAACAAAUACAAUGGCGACCAAUAUGUAUCCGACAAAUACAAUGACCAAUAUGUAUCCAACGAAUACAAUGGCCAAUAUGUAUCCAGGAAAUGUGGUGACUAACUUGCUUCCGGUGAAUCCAAUGACAAGCACCAUGCCACCAGUGGGGAAUGCUUUGGCUCUUAGGCAUCCUAUGAAUUCCAUGUUCAAUCAGCAAAAUAUAAUCAAGGGUGACCGCAACAUGUUCAUGUCUUCGGAUGACAAUGUGAUGAUGAGGCAAAUAUAUGAUACUCAUACUCCUGAUGGCAGAGUACUUUAUGUCAAGCCACUACUCCAUAUUGUGGAGGAUAUCUUGUCCUUCACUCAUAUGACUAGUCCUCUGGAUGCUGCCAAUGCACAUGUAAUCUUUAUAUACUGCAUUGCUGUCUUAAUUAUCACUCAAACUGCUAAAUAUCAAGUAAUUGUAUGCAAUGGCAGUUUAAUCAAAAUUUUGAUCACAUGCAGGGUGCCCAUAUGGAUGACAAAACCCACCAAUCUGAAGUGAUUUCUAUGCUUGAAGCACUGUCUCACUUAAUUGACCGGAUUUCUUGUGAGGUAUAUAUCUCUUAUUUUAUUUUAUGUACCAGUGAGCAAAAUAUAUAUCAGUUGCUAUAUUGAUGUGACUAUUUAUAUUUGAUCCUAACAAUGAAAUCACAUAUAUUUACAGAUAUCAAUCAAGUGUUUGAGUGGUUCAGACGGACAUGUGACAACAGUGUCCAUACUAAACAUGGUAUCAAAUUAUCCAUGGGAUGCAAAACUAGUACUAACUCUAGCAGCAUUUGCUUUCAGCUAUGGAGAAUUCUGGCUGCUUGCUCAACUUUACUCAUCAAAUCAACUUGCAAGGUCCAUGGCCAUACUUAAGCAAGUUCCACUCAUCAUGGAGCACUCUGGCUCUCUUCAGCAUCGGUUUGAUGCAGUUAACACACUCCUCAAUUCGAUCAUGGAUUUGACGAGGACCAUCAUUGCAUUGGAAGAGUUACCUACUAUGUACAUUGCGAAGGAUGUGCCUCCAUUUUCAAGUGCCAUUGAAACUAUCCCAACUGCUGUAUACUGGAGUAUCAGAAGUGUCAUUGCCUGUGCAACUACCAUUAGUUUACUGACUAGCAUGGGCCACGAGUAAGUUCGUUUACUGUACAGAUGACUCAAUAAUUUAUCAAACUUGUUUAAUAUUGUUGAAUAACACAUACUAUGUAAUUCACUAUUCAAAUGCAUUGUUUUAUUUAAUUAUUGUCGUAAUUUUAAUUCAUUAGGUACACGAUAUCAAUGACAGAGCUGUCAUGGGAACUGUCCACAUUUGCUCAGAGGAUCAAGCAGAUACAUGAUCAUCUCAAGAGGAAUUUAGAUAUCUGCUACCUACACAUAGGUUCUUAUAUAUGAUAUUUCUAGAUACAAGAUAUAUAAACCAGCAUUCUGUUUAACUUGUGACAUUGUUCAUAUGGCGAUGAAUAGGUGUAUAUGAUUAAUGUUUUAAUGUUUUUAGAUGAGAAGAUGCGAGCUGCUGCUUAUGAGUCACUAAGGCAUUUAUUUGACGUGACACACAUCGACAAUAUGAAAGUUCUUAGGGCUCUGAUUUACCCCAGGGAUGAUAUACAGCCACUAGUUGAAGGUUCUUCUAAAAGAAGGGUAUGAAUACAACAUAAGAAUUAUAAAUAGUACUUAUAUGGAUGAGCCUGAUUUUAUUUUUUUUUAGUAGCAAUAGCUUAUCACCUUAGGAGAAACUGAAAACAUAUAUGUAAAAUACAGGUUCACCUGGAUGUGCUAAGAAGAAAGAAUGUCUUGCUACUGAUAUCAGGCCUUGACAUCUCUGCGGACGAGCUCUCCAUUCUUGAACAGAUUUAUAGCGAGUCCCGUAUCCAUGGAACAAGAAUGGAAAGCCUAUAUGAGUUGGUCUGGAUUCCAAUUGUGGACCUUUCUCAUGUUACCCAUCCGGGAACCACCCCUGGGAUCUAUGGAACCACCACUGGACCGUAUGGAACAACCACCGGACCAUAUGGAACAACUACUGACACAUUUCCACUGCAGAAACAUACUGGUAACCUGCCAGAAGAUCACAGUCUUCACUCCAGUAAUUCGAAGACGAUGUCUGUGUUUUCAUCAAAAAAUUUGAUGGAUCCUCAAAACUAUUCCGCUGUCUUUAAGCAGCACUGGACUGAUCCUAUGCAGAAGCGCUUUGAUGAGCUUACAUCGACAAUGCCAUGGUACUCUGUGUACCAUCCAUCCAUCAUUGAUCAGGCAGUUGUCAGGUUUGUGAAGGAGAGAUGGCACUUCAGGAAGAAGCCUAUACUAGUUGUUCUUGAUCCCCAAGGAAAGGAGGUGAGCCCUAAUGCACUUCACAUGAUGUGGAUUUGGGGGAGUACCGCCUUUCCUUUCACUAGUUCCAGAGAAGAGGCUCUUUGGAGAGAUGAGACUUGGAGGCUUGAAUUGCUUGUCAGUGGCAUGGAUCCAAUUAUCUACAAUGAUUGGGUGAGCUUUAAAUCACUUUUAGUAUUCUUACUCAUAUUUUUAAACUUUUGGCUAAUUGAUCACAUUUGCUUGGUUAUAGAUAAGAGAUGGCAAGUUCAUAAUUCUGUAUGGAGGGGAGGACAUUGACUGGAUCAGGCGAUUCACAAACACUGCGCGGGCUGUGGCACAAGCGGCUGGAGUUCAGCUCGAGAUGGCCUACGUGGGAAAGAGCACAAAGAGGGAAAUGGUCAGGAAGGCAAUGUCAACAAUCACAGUGGAGAAGCUUAGCUACUGCUGGCAAGACCCCACAAUGAUAUGGUUCUUCUGGGCAAGAAUGGAGAGCAUGUUGUUUUCAA
rnacentral:lncRNA from 1 species